rnacentral:rRNA from 1 species
AGUGGCGAACGGGUGAGUAAUGUAUCGGAACGUACCUUUCAGUGGGGGAUAACGUAGCGAAAGUUACGCUAAUACCGCAUAUUCUGUGAGCAGGAAAGCAGGGGAUCUUCGGACCUUGCGCUGAUUGAGCGGCCGAUAUCAGAUUAGCUAGUUGGUGAGGUAAAGGCUCACCAAGGCGACGAUCUGUAGCGGGUCUGAGAGGAUGAUCCGCCACACUGGAACUGAGACACGGUCCAGACUCCUACGGGAGGCAGCAGUGGGGAAUUUUGGACAAUGGGGGCAACCCUGAUCCAGCCAUGCCGCGUGAGUGAAGAAGGCCUUCGGGUUGUAAAGCUCUUUCGGCCGGGAAGAAAUCGCAUGGGUUAAUACCCUGUGCGGAUGACGGUACCGGCAUAAGAAGCACCGGCUAACUACGUGCCAGCAGCCGCGGUAAUACGUAGGGUGCGAGCGUUAAUCGGAAUUACUGGGCGUAAAGCGUGCGCAGGCGGUUUUGUAAGACAGGCGUGAAAUCCCCGGGCUCAACCUGGGAACUGCGCUUGUGACUGCAAGGCUAGAGUACGGCAGAGGGGGGUGGAAUUCCACGUGUAGCAGUGAAAUGCGUAGAGAUGUGGAGGAACACCAAUGGCGAAGGCAGCC